AGGAAGAGACGUCCUGAGGGGCACUCUUGGAACACACUCAGGGAGGAAAGCUCACAUACAAUGAACUGGUUUUUAUGGAUCUAAGACGAUUUUAACUGAGUAACAGUGACUCUGUUGUACAGAAUCAGCAUUCUAUGCAGGCAAUGGGAAAGCAAGAGUCCCUGUGCCUCGUAACGAGUGAGCAGGUGGCUAAGAUUAGACAGGACUCGGCAGAAGAGGAAACAUCUGGCUGCCUCUACAGAAGAGACUUUGCUCUCUUGGCCUCUCCAAGCUUUUCCCUCUAGCUUCUUAAUGAGAAGGCAUUGAAGAACCAGCUGAGAACCUGAAGAACUGGUGCCAGGACCACUGUGUAUAACAAGGAUUUAAAACAAGCCCUGAGUUCUUAUCACCUCUCAGUGCCUAAGAUCCCUGACCACCCAAGUCAGAAGAGCACAGCCCUGUCCAGUCCUACAUACCUGGAAUUUGGCCAACAAAGCACACUGGUGAUUCCUUCCUUCAUCCGAAUAAAAUUUUUUUUUUGCCGGUUAAUGCAAAGACCCUCCUUCAAGAUCUCUCUCAAAUGUGUGUGGAGCAGGCAUGGAAGGAUCCGAACAGCAGGGUGAACUGGUGGUACAUUUUCAAGUGCCAACCGUGAAGAAGAGGUCAAAUCCUAGAUCAAUCCCGAUUACUAUUUAAAGUGUGUCUUAAUGAGUCUUCAUUCUGGUCCUAAUACUGGCAUGUGGUCCAAACCUCCUCCAUCUCAGCUUCCUGGAUAAUCUCUACAUCUCAGCAUCUUCUCCAUCUUGCAGCAACUGUUCCCGCUCAGGGUUCUUGCUUUCACUGCUCCCCAUCACGGAUCAAAGCCUUUCAGAAGCCAUUUCCAACAGAUGCAAUUUAAUCUCCUCUGAAUCACUGUUAGGAGCUAGCAUACCACCACAGUCAGAACCGACCUGACUCCUUUUCUUACUUCAGCCAAUCUUAAUCACUAACUUCCAAGUUUCCGCACUGUAUUUCUG